GACGAACGCUGGCGGCGUGCUUAACACAUGCAAGUCAAACGGAAAGGCCCUGCUUUUGUGGGGUGCUCGAGUGGCGAACGGGUGAGUAACACGUGAGUAACCUGCCCUUGACUUUGGGAUAACUUCAGGAAACUGGGGCUAAUACCGGAUAGGAGCCCCUGCUGCAUGGUGGGGGUUGGAAAGUUUCGGCGGUUGGGGAUGGACUCGCGGCUUAUCAGCUUGUUGGUGGGGUAGUGGCUUACCAAGGCUUUGACGGGUAGCCGGCCUGAGAGGGUGACCGGCCACAUUGGGACUGAGAUACGGCCCAGACUCCUACGGGAGGCAGCAGUGGGGAAUAUUGCACAAUGGGCGGAAGCCUGAUGCAGCAACGCCGCGUGCGGGAUGACGGCCUUCGGGUUGUAAACCGCUUUCGCCUGUGACGAAGCGUGAGUGACGGUAAUGGGUAAAGAAGCACCGGCUAACUACGUG
rnacentral:rRNA from 1 species